GGGGGGGCAAGCGUUAUUCGGAUUUACUGGGCGUAAAGCGCACGUAGGUGGCAUGGUAAGUCAAAGGUGAAAGCCCUCGGCUCAACCGAGGAAUUGCCUUUGAAACUGCUUUGCUUGAGUCCGGGAGGGGGGAGCGGAAUUCCCAGUGUAGCGGUGAAAUGCGUAGAUACUGGGAGGAACACCGGUGGCGAAGGCGGCUCCCUGGACCGGUACUGACACUGAGGUGCGAAAGCGUGGGUAGCAAACAGGAUUAGAUACCCUGGGUAGUCCGCGCCGUAAACGAUGGGCACUAGGUGCAGCGGGUGUCGACCCCCCUGCUGUGCCGUAGUUAACGCAUUAAGUGCCCCGCCUGGGGAGUACGGUCGCAAGGCUG
rnacentral:rRNA from 1 species